GCCCUGACUCCAGACCAGCCGGCGGGAACUGGGGCGCCGCUCUACUCCGCCCGAGUUCGGAAUUGGUAAAAGGACGGGCGGGAGCCGCAGCGGAAGCGCGUUUCCGCGGUGCGCUGAGGCUUGCGGAUCCCCGAGGAUGCGCGCCCUGCCAACCCUGGACGCGCCCCCAAACGAGCGGCUCCUGUUCCGGGACCUCGAGGCCCCCAGGGCCCGGGACGCGGCGGAGCCGGCGCGCAGGAGUGCCGUGGAGAGGCUGGCAGCCGACCGUGCCAAGAAGCAAGUCUUCCCGACCUCGGGGGCUCCUUGGAGCGGGUCUGGAUGACUGGGCGUCCAGGGCCACCCUCACUGCCGGGCUUGGUCUGAUGUACCCAGGUGUCCAUAUGCUCAUCGUUUUCCCAGGAAUAAAGCACACCAGCAAAGAAGCUUAAGGAAUUUUGGAAAAAGCUGGAAACGCAACGGAGCAGAUGGGAACGCAGAACUUGGAAAUUAGCUGGGUUAUAACUCUUGACACAGCUGAGGCUCUGGAAGAUGUUUUCUUGUGCUGGGUGGCCUAGCCUUGCUUCCAGAGGGGAGCAGAAAAGGGGAAAGCUGCCUCAAAAUAUUUUCUCGGGCAUCUUUUUGAGUAGCUUGCUGACAAAGAGGUGCCACGAUACAUUUUAAAAAUAUCUAAAUUAAUUUUAAAAAAACAAAGAGCAUGAAACUGAAGCAUGAAUGCCAUGGUAUAAGCCUCCGUGUGGACAGAACAUGGACUCAGGAUGUGGGGCGUGUGCCCUGGCCUUCAAUCUAAUUCACUCCCUGCCUAUCACACAGUCAUCCCAAAUGUGUCACCAGUUCACCCUUUGUGGAAAAAGGGUGUUUGAGACCAGGGGGUAGCCUCUGGGUGGCUGGGAGACUCGGGGACCAGAAUGUUGUCAGUAAGGUGUUCCUGGAACCUAAAUCUGAACUGGUGCAUGACACUCAGAGUAAAGAGAUUUCAGAUUCAGAAACUUCUGAGAGAAAUUUUCUAUCAAUGGUGAAAACCCAAGGAAAAUUUAUGACCCAGAGCUUGCAAUGUUUUAUCAAAAUAUGCCUCUUUGAGGAUAAAAUUAUUAGAAGAAUAGAGAGGGAAAAGAAAUUGCUUUCUCAAUAGUAAAAUAUCCUAUAAAUCAAUCUAUUUUGAUAUAGCCAUGUAUUUGUUUAAUAUUGCAUUUUUGUAAUUUUUACCGUGAGACUUGGUCCUUGAGUUACUUAAAUAUUUAUUUUUACAUAGCUAUUGGUCUUAAAUAGUAAUUCUACACUUCAUAUGGUUUUAGUUUUAAUCAGUAUAAUUUUAGAGCAUUCUCUCCUUGGUUAUCUUUUUGUAUAUGUUGUUUAACUGACUUUUCAACUGUUGACUGUAAGCAGAGUGUUCAGUACUCUAAAGUGCUCCAUAGCGUAGGGACUGGUUUUAAAUAACUUCACAGGAGGCAUUCUGAGAGGCUCUAUUGGCUGACGGAUGUACCUCUCUCCACGUAGACUAUUUAUACAGGUGAAGAUUUCCUGCUCUAAGAAAACUGUCCCCGUUGUUCCCCUAGGAAUGCUGCUGUUUUGCUGUUCACUGGGUUGCACUUAGUUGGAAAGAGAGUGUCAAGGGUGACGGUGUUUUCUCAGGAGGUUUUCAUAGAUGCAGUGUUCCCUUACUGGCAGUUCCACUGAUUUUGUGUGUGAACAUUGGAAGUAAAACUGUUAUGUGCCUUUCUACUGUCAGAAGAGGAUGGACUGAAACCUCAGUCAGAUUUAUCUAAGGUCAAAAUGCUGCAGGCUCAACCAUACCUAAUACGUAAAAAAAUGUAAAAACGAAUUGGCUACUGUUUAAAAGCACCAAGAUCAUCCAGAAGCAUUUGUGCCUCUGUGGAGGUGCCUGCUGAGAGGAGAUGUCAGAAGUGGGUAUGAAGCAGGAGCAGGGUGUCCCUAGACUCUGACAGGAUUGGGUUAACACUCCCUCUGGUCCAUUCAGAGUCACACUUCAGCAUCAGGGCUCAGUGUGUGCUUGGAGGCGAGAAGUCGUUUCCCAAUUCUGAAUUUUCCCAAUUUGCUGAGUGACUUGGAGCAAAUGAAACUUGACAGCUGAGUCUGAAUCAAAAAGCUUGUCAUUGAUGUUCACAAGGAUGCACAAUCAUUACUGCUGCAAAAUAGUUUUAUUUGUUCAUGAAAGAAUAGCAUAUGAAAUAAUAUGAUUAAACACCAAGGAAAGAAGAAAAUACUGAUAAGGAAAAUAGCUGGACGGUAUCUGUUUCACUAAUAUAUGGGUAGAGAUAAGCAAUGCCUCGGACCAAAAGGUAUUCACGUAACUGGAAGAGUCCUCAUAACGUGCCCGUGCAGGUAGUUUUUAACUCUUGGUCACUGACACUGGGAUCAAACGUUGCCCUUUUCAGUGGGUUAAAAGUACAGUCCUAUAGUUAUAGUUUGUGGGGCCAGACAAUUAUUAUGGCAGUUUCUAAACAGAGGUGUUUUUUUUUUUCCCUACACACUACUUGCAACAGAAGUGCAAUAUUGCGUAUUCUGUAUUAAAAAAAAAAUAAAGUCUUAUCAUUUAUUAAAGUUACUUUGUGAAUUUGUACAAUGUGAAAAAUUGAAGCCAGAGUAUGUUUAUUAUAAUUACUCAUAUCUUUUGUGUUCACUCUUUCUUCCUAAUAUCGUCUUAAUCGAUUAUCAGUAGGAAUGAGGAAAAUAUCCCAAAACUUGACCCAGGCAAGUCAUUUGGCAUCCAGAGUCUUCUAGAUGGAGAUGGAAUAUGCAAUAAAAACAAUUUGAACAU
ensembl:lncRNA